rnacentral:rRNA from 1 species
GAUGAACGCUGGCGGCGUGCCUAAUACAUGCAAGUCGAGCGAACAGACGAGGAGCUUGCUCCUCUGACGUUAGCGGCGGACGGGUGAGUAACACGUGGAUAACCUACCUAUAAGACUGGGAUAACUUCGGGAAACCGGAGCUAAUACCGGAUAAUAUAUUGAACCGCAUGGUUCAAUAGUGAAAGACGGUUUUGCUGUCACUUAUAGAUGGAUCCGCGCCGCAUUGGGUAGUUGGUAAGGUAACGGCUUACCAAGGCAACGAUGCGUAGACGACCUGAGAGGGUGAUCGGCCACACUGGAACUGAGACACGGUCCAGACUCCUACGGGAGGCACCAGUAGGGAAUCGUCCGCAAUGGGCGAAAGCCUGACGGAGCAACGCCGCGUGAGUGAUGAAGGUCUUCGGAUCGUAAAACUCUGUUAUUAGGGAAGAACAAAUGUGUAAGUAACUAUGCACGUCUUGACGGUACCUAAUCAGAAAGCCACGGCUAACUACGUG